rnacentral:tRNA from 1 species
UGACAUCAUCGAUUACCGCUGGAUCGCCGGCGCUGCGAUCGCCGGAACGAUCGUCGGCGCGAUCGCAGCCCGUCGUGUCGCC